AUGACUGCGGCCUCCGGCUGUGUCCGUUGAGUCAGCCCUGAGGGAAGAGAAUACGCCUGCCUACUUCCAGGGCUGCGUCAUCAGCCAGGAGCGAGCCCGUCAUGGCCGCUGUGUCAGCCAGGAGGGACGGUGUGUGCGGCUGUGCUGCGUUCUGUCCGCUGCUCCGGCUGCUGUGCCAGCCGGAGGAGGAUAAACGUGUCUGCAGUUCCCAGGCUUCUCACUUCUUCCUCCAUCCUCUCAGCUCGGCCUCGCCUGCGCUGGGUUCAGCAGUGCGGGCCGUUUGAACGGCAAGGCAAUCCGCGCUAUGAACAGGAUGAAGAGAAAUACAUCACCUGACACUAGGCUUUUUAGCUCCCAGCUGCUGUGUGUGCUAACUCCUAAAGGCGCUUCAUACCUGAGCUCCAGUGGUUUUCUUUGGCCAAUGCCUUCAUCCCCAGUUUGGGAAGGCCAAAUGUGAAGCUGGAACAUGGAAGGCUUGAACCAGAAGGCCUGCAGCAUCCUGCUCAGUUUGAACCCCCUAUUUUCUUCCAUAGUCCUCAGUCUGGAGGGGAACAAGGACAAGACAAGAAAGUGAACAAAGCUUUGGAUAGAGAGGUUAAUUGUACACUUGGCAGAGGAACUCAGUUUUAGGGGGACUCGUUUCAAGAGUAGAAGUGGUGAGAACAAAGAGCUAAGUAACUCACCUACACUGUAAUAUUUUAACAGAAUUCUGAACCAGCAUGAUGAAGAGAUGACAGUUGGCAGAUAAUUGGUAGAAAAACUCAAAAUAUACUGGACAUAAAGAGAUUUAUUCUGAAAUUCAAGCCGAAGCCAACCAGACAAUCAAGACAGAUGUAAUUAACACAAACUGAAGAAGACACAAGAGAAGGAAAAGUAAUUUUUUUGGCAAAGGAUUAUUGUUUGAAAUUUCUUUACUGCUAGGCAACUCUGGACACUGAUUCGAUUUUUAUUGCAAUGCAGUGAUAACAAAGUCACAUAUCAUUAUGUUUCCUCAGAGGAUAUUGAAAGGAAAAGUCUCUCCCUUUCUGUUACUUAAACAUUGAUUUUUAACCUAGGUUGAGAGAUUCUCAGCCCGAUGACUAGCUUUCCUGCAGCAUCCAGACUGGU